rnacentral:rRNA from 1 species
GAUGAACGCUGUCGGCGUGCUUAACACAUGCAAGUCGAGCGAUGAAGUUUCCUUCGGGAAACGGAUUAGCGGCGGACGGGUGAGUAACACGUGGGUAACCUGCCUCAUAGAGUGGAAUAGCCUUCCGAAAGGAAGAUUAAUACCGCAUAAUGUUGAAAGAUGGCAUCAUCAUUUAACCAAAGGAGCAAUCCGCUAUGAGAUGGACCCGCGGCGCAUUAGCUAGUUGGUGGGGUAACGGCCUACCAAGGCGACGAUGCGUAGCCGACCUGAGAGGGUGAUCGGCCACAUUGGGACUGAGACACGGCCCACACUCCUACGGGAGGCAGCAGUGGGGAAUAUUGCACAAUGGGGGAAACCCUGAUGCAGCAACGCCGCGUGAGUGAUGAAGGUUUUCGGAUCGUAAAGCUCUGUCUUUGGGGAAGAUAAUGACGGUACCCAAGGAGGAAGCCACGGCUAACUACGUGCCAGCAGCCGCGGUAAUACGUAGGUGGCGAGCGUUAUCCGGAUUUACUGGGCGUAAAGGGAGCGUAGGCGGAUGAUUAAGUGGGAUGUGAAAUACCCGGGCUCAACUUGGGUGCUGCAUUCCAAACUGGUUAUCUAGAGUGCAAGAGAGGAGAGUGGAAUUCCUAGUGUAGCGGUGAAAUGCGUAGAGAUUAAGAAAAACACCAGUGGGCGAAGGCAACUCUCUGGACUGUAACUGACGCUGAAGGUUCGAAGGCGUGGGGCGCUAAAAGGAUUAGAUACCCUGGUAGUUCCACGCCGUAAACGAUGAAUACUAGGUGUGGGGGUUUCAACACCUCCGUGCCGCCGCUAACGCAUUAAGUAUUCCGCCUGGGGAGUACGGUCGCAAGAUUAAAACUCAAAGGAAUUGACGGGGACCCGCACAAGUAGCGGAGCAUGUGGUUUAAUUCGAAGCAACGCGAAGAACCUUACCUACACUUGACAUCCCUUGCAUUACUCUUAAUCGAGGAAAUCCCUUCGGGGACAAGGUGACAGGUGGUGCAUGGUUGUCGUCAGCUCGUGUCGUGAGAUGUUGGGUUAAGUCCCGCAACGAGCGCAACCCUUGUCGUUAGUUACUACCAUUAAGUUGAGGACUCUAGCGAGACUGCCUGGGUUAACCAGGAGGAAGGUGGGGAUGACGUCAAAUCAUCAUGCCCCUUAUGUGUAGGGCUACACACGUGCUACAAUGGCUGGUACAGAGAGAUGCAAUACCGCGAGGUGGAGCCAAACUUAAAAACCAGUCUCAGUUCGGAUUGUAGGCUGAAACUCGCCUACAUGAAGCUGGAGUUACUAGUAAUCGCGAAUCAGAAUGUCGCGGUGAAUACGUUCCCGGGUCUUGCACA